rnacentral:rRNA from 1 species
UACAGAGGUCUCAAGCGUUGUUCGGAUUCAUUGGGCGUAAAGGGUGCGUAGGUGGCGCUGUAAGUCGGGUGUGAAAUUUCGGAGCUUAACUCCGAAACUGCAUUCGAUACUGCUGUGCUUGAGGACUGGAGAGGAGACUGGAAUUCAUGGUGUAGCAGUGAAAUGCGUAGAGAUCAUGAGGAAGACCAGUGGCGAAGGCGGGUCUCUGGACAGUUCCUGACACUGAGGCACGAAGGCCAGGGGAGCAAACGGG